AGAGUUUGAUCAUGGCUCAGAGCGAACGCUGGCGGCAGGCUUAACACAUGCAAGUCGAGCGGGCGUAGCAAUACGUCAGCGGCAGACGGGUGAGUAACGCGUGGGAACGUACCUUUUGGUUCGGAACAACACAGGGAAACUUGUGCUAAUACCGGAUAAGCCCUUACGGGGAAAGAUUUAUCGCCGAAAGAUCGGCCCGCGUCUGAUUAGCUAGUUGGUGAGGUAAUGGCUCACCAAGGCGACGAUCAGCAGCUGGUCUGAGAGGAUGAUCAGCCACACUGGAACUGAGACACGGUCCAGACUCCUACGGGAGGCAGCAGUGGGGAAUAUUGCGCAAUGGGCGAAAGCCUGACGCAGCAACGCCGCGUGAGUGAUGAAGGCCUUCGGGUCGUAAAGCUCUGUCGGAGGGAACGAAUGUCUCUGGGGUUAACAGCCCCGGGGAGUGACGGUACCCUCAAAGGAAGCACCGGCUAACUCUGUGCCAGCAGCGGCGGUAAUAC
rnacentral:rRNA from 1 species